rnacentral:rRNA from 1 species
UCGCACCUACCGAUUGAUCGAUCCGGUGAAGCCUCGGGAUUGUGAGGAGUUUCCUUUAUUGGGAGUUUUUCGCGAGAACUUGUCUGAACCUUAUCAUUUAGAGGAAGGUG